UUUUGAGCAAAAUUUACGUCCACAAGUCUUUCACAGUUACCGAUCUCUAAUGGGAUUGAUCCAUUCAAUGAAUUUACUUCCAGGUGGAACGAUGAAAGUUGCCUCAGGAAACCAAUUUCAGAAGGUAUUUCUCCAUUGAACUCGUUAUUACUCAAAUAGAGCCUCUCUAAAUUUGUCAACUUGCCAAGCUCUGAUGGAAGGUUACCUGAAAACUUAUUGUUUGGCAAAACCAACUGGCUCAAGCUGGUAGAUAAACCAAUGUUUGGGGAUAUAAUUCCAAUGAAUUCAUUAUCACUAAAGUCAAUCAUUUUUGCAUUAGGAAGAGCCCAUACACCAUCUGGAAUGCUGCCAGACAUUUGAUUAUUAUUAAUUCUGAAUCUUUGCAGUGAUUUGCACUCAGCUAAAGCAAAUGGCAGCUCACCAGAAAAUCUAUUUUCCAGAGCAAGUAAGAACUCCAACUUCCUAUUCUCACACAAGAACUGAGGAAAGCUCCCUGAAAAUUGGUUCUCAGAUAUGUCAAUACUGCUGAGCGG
rnacentral:lncRNA from 1 species